GUGAACCUCUGAUGGACGUAUUAAAAUUGCCUCCGACAUGCAUAGUAAUUCUGAGCAGUAACCAAGUCAACAACAGGGACAGAACAUGCAAGUAACUCGUGGGUAAUGUGCAAGCAAAAAUGAGUGUAAAAUUUCAAGUUAUUUUCAAGGAGUUUGCUACAGGAUCAUGUAAAUACCGAGUAAUCUACUUUUCUACCAUGUGAAGAACAGGAUGUAAAUGGAGC